AGAGUUUGAUCAUGGCUCAGGAUGAACGCUAGCGGGAGGCCUAACACAUGCAAGUCGAGCGGGAAUUUCCUUCGGGGAAUGAGAGCGGCGCACGGGUGAGUAACGCGUAUGUAACCUACCCUGUACAGGGGGAUAGCCCGGAGAAAUCCGGAUUAAUACCCCAUAGGACUACACUUCCGCAUGGGAGAGGAGUUAAAGCUGAGGCGGUACAGGACGGACAUGCGUGGCAUUAGCUUGUUGGCGGGGUAACGGCCCACCAAGGCGACGAUGCCUAGGGGUUCUGAGAGGAAGAUCCCCCACACUGGUACUGAGACACGGACCAGACUCCUACGGGAGGCAGCAGUGAGGAAUAUUGGUCAAUGGGCGGAAGCCUGAACCAGCCAUCCCGCGUGAAGGAAGACUGCCCUAUGGGUUGUAAACUUCUUUUUUGCAAGAAGAACGGGAGACACGCGAUGUUUCUGUGACGGUAUUGCAAGAAUAAGCAUCGGCUAACUCCGUGCCAGCAGCCGCGGUAAUACGGAGGAUGCAAGCGUUAUCCGGAUUCAUUGGGUUUAAAGGGUACGUAGGUAGCGUGCUAAGUCAGUGGUGAAAAGCUGCCGCUCAACGGUAGUCUUGCCAUAGAAACUGGCAUGCUUGAGUACAGCUGAGGUAAGUGGAAUGUGUAGUGUAGCGGUGAAAUGCAUAGAUAUUACACAGAACCCCGAUUGCGAAGGCAACUUACUAAACUGAUACUGACGCUGAGGUACGAAAGCGUGGGUAGCGAACAGGAUUAGAUACCCUAGUAGUCC
rnacentral:rRNA from 1 species